UACGUAGGGGGCAAGCGUUGUCCGGAUUUAUUGGGCGUAAAGAGCGUGUAGGCGGCUUUGCAAGUCCGUUGUGAAAACUCGAGGCUCAACCUCGAGACGCCGGUGGAAACUGCAAAGCUAGAGUCCGGAAGAGGAGAGUGGAAUUCCUGGUGUAGCGGUGAAAUGCGCAGAUAUCAGGAGGAACACCAAUGGCGAAGGCAGCUCGCUGGGACGUGACUGACGCUGAGACGCGAAAGCGUGGGGAGCAAACAGG
rnacentral:rRNA from 1 species